rnacentral:rRNA from 1 species
UACGGAGGGUGCGAGCGUUAAUCGGAAUUACUGGGCGUAAAGCGCACGUAGGCGGUCGUGUAAGUCGGAUGUGAAAUCCCCGGGCUUAACCUGGGAAUGGCAUUUGGGACUGCAAGGCUUGAGUGCGGCAGAGGGGACUGGAAUUCCCGGUGUAGCAGUGAAAUGCGUAGAUAUCGGGAGGAAUACCGAUGGCGAAGGCAGGUCUCUGGGCUGACACUGACGCUCAUGCACGAAAGCAUGGGGAGCAAACAGG